rnacentral:rRNA from 1 species
UACGAGGGGGGCGAGCGUUGUUCGGAAUUAUUGGGCGUAAAGGGUGCGUAGGCGGUUUGGUAAGUCUUGUGUGAAAUCUCCAGGCUCAACUUGGAGUCUGCACGAGAAACUGCCGGGCUUGAGUGUGGGAGAGGUGAGUGGAAUUCCUGGUGUAGCGGUGAAAUGCGUAGAUAUCAGGAGGAACACCUGUGGCGAAAGCGGCUUUCUGGGCCCUACCUGACGCUGAGACGCGAAAGCGUGGGGAGCGAACCGG